rnacentral:rRNA from 1 species
UAAGGAAUAUUGCUCAAUGGGAGAAAUCCUGAAGCAGCAACGCCGCGUGGAGGAUGAAGGGUCUAUGACUUGUAAACUCCUGUAAAGAAGGAAAAAAUUCCCAUUAGAUGGGAGAUGAUGGUACUUCUGGAGUAAGCCCCGGCUAACUACGUGCCAGCAGCCGCGGUAAUACGUAGGGGGCAAGCGUUGUCCGGAUUUACUGGGUGUAAAGGGCGCGCAGGCGGGAUAAAAAGUCAGUGGUGAAAUCCUACAGCUUAACUGUAGAACUGCCUUUGAUACUUUUAUUCUUGAGUUCGGGAGAGAGAGACGGAAUUCCAGGUGUAGUGGUGAAAUACGUAGAUAUCUGGAAGAACACCAGUUGCGAAGGCGGUCUCUUGGUCCGACACUGACGCUGAGGCGCGAAAGCGUGGGGA